rnacentral:rRNA from 1 species
GACAGAGGGUGCAAACGUUGUUCGGAAUUACUGGGCGUAAAGCGCGUGUAGGCUGCUCGGAAAGUCGGAUGUGAAAGCCCGGGGCUCACCCCCGGAAGGGCAUUGGAAACUGACGGACUCGAGUCCCGAAGAGGAGGGUGGAAUUCCUGGUGUAGCGGUGAAAUGCGUAGAUAUCAGGAGGAACACCGGUGGCGAAGGCGGCCUUCUGGACAGUGACUGACGCUGAGACGCGAAAGCGUGGGGAGCAAACAGG